UACGGGAGGCAGCAGUGGGGAAUAUUGCACAAUGGGCGAAAGCCUGAUGCAGCUAUGCCGCGUGUAUGAAGAAGGCCUUAGGGUUGUAAAGUACUUUCAUCGGGGAGGAAAAAACAAAACUAAUAAUUUUAUUUCUUGACGUUACCCGAAAAAGAAGCACCGGCUAACUCCGUGCCAGCAGCCGCGGUAAUACGGAGGGUGCUAGCGUUAAUCAGAAUUACUGGGCGUAAAGAGCACGUAGGUGGUUUUUUUAAGUCAGAUGUGAAAUCCCUGGGCUUUAACCUAGGAACUGCAUUUUGAAACUGAAAUACUAGAGUAUCGUAGAGGGAGGUAGAAUUCUAGGUGUAGCGGUGAAAUGCGUAGAUAUCUGGAGGAAUACCUGUGGCGAAAGCGGCCUCCUAAACGAAUACUGACACUGAGGGUGCGAAAGCGUGGGGAGCAAACAGGGAUUAGAUACCCGU
rnacentral:rRNA from 1 species